CGAGACCGGCUUGUCUCGGACUUAGACCUACCCAAUCUCACUUAUUUCCAAGCUGUAAUCAAGGAAACCUUCCGGCUGCAUCCAUCAACACCACUCUCCCUCCCUCGGAUGGCAUCCGAGAGCUGUGAGAUCAAUGGCUACCACAUCCCUAAGGGUGCCACACUGUUGGUCAACGUAUGGGCCAUAGCUCGUGACCCUGACGAGUGGAAGGACCCGUUGGAGUUCCGGCCCGAAAGGUUUUUACCCGGGGGUGAAAGGCCCAACGCUGAUGUCAGGGGAAAUGAUUUUGAGGUUAUACCAUUUGGCGCUGGACGUAGAAUAUGUGCGGGCAUGAGCUUAGGGUUGCGCAUGGUGCAACUAUUAGCGGCUACGUUGGUGCAUGCUUUCGACUGG
rnacentral:lncRNA from 1 species